GAGAGUCGGUGUGUAUUUAGGAAUCAGGUACAGGGUACAGCGUUCAGGGGGCCAGAGGUGGCCCAGAGAUUGAGGAAUACACACCUACAGGCCAAGUAAAUUGGACUCAAAGGUGCUAGGGGCUCAGGAGGGUGCACCUGUUGGCCAGGUGUGUUGACAUGAAAAUGGUGGUGCACGAAAGUUGCUAAGUAGGGCAGGCUAAAGCAGGCCUCAAAAAAAGCCAGGGGGAGCCAGGGCACAGUUCCACUAGGGCUGGGGGCGGGGUGGAGAUGUCGGGUUGGGGAAUCCACGGAAUAAGCAGCCCGGAGACGCCCACUCCUCCCACAUCGGGUCUCCGUCCCGCUCCACCCCUAAGACCCCUUGGAAAUCAAAUAGAGGUGAAGGGGUACAGGCGUGGAGAAUUGCAGGCAUGCUGAUCGCGGGUAUCGCAGCGCUGCUGUUGUGGCUUCUAGUGCUGGCGCUGGCGCUGGCGUGGCGGGGGUAGGGUGGGUGCCGCGGUCAGAUGCGGGGGUCCCUACCUCCUCGGCCCAGGCCGCUCCCAUUGCUGAGGAACUUGCAGCUGCAGUCCGGAGGCCUGGACCGCGCACUCCAUUCCCGACAGGAAUGGGGGAACGGAAUUCUGGAUUCGUGGAGGUGGGGCUGGGGACUAGAACUCCUCCUGAAUGAAGACAGCUAUGAUCCUGAGGAAGGACAGGAAGGAUGAGUGCUCCGGCCCGCUGAGUACUAGGAAAGGAGAAUAGGGAGUGGAGAGCUUGGGGCCGGGAUACUGGGUCGUAACGAAGGAGCCCAGAGCAGGAAAUCAGGUUGUGGGAAGAGGGGAGCAGAGGGUCUGUUCUCCUGGUUCAAGAUGGGGAGGCUGAGUACUGAGCGCCCAGGUGACGACUCUGAGGUUGCAGUAGGCUGGGAAGCUAGGCUUCUAGGUCCCAAGGGAAGAAGGAAGUGGGGCCCUGGAUUCCUGGAUCUCAGGGAGGAAGGAGCUGGGGAUCUGAAUUCCUGGGCCUGAGGAAUGAGGGUCUGAGACGAGGACUCCUGGGUCUGAAGGAAGAGGGAGCUGGGGGCAAUGGCUCCGAUGAGGAACCCGAUGGGCACCCGCUGAACACCGGCUCCCCGUAGCUCUCCGGCCGCUGGGGCCGGGUGUUCACAAUGCAGCUGGGCCCGCGCCCUGCAGUGGUGCUGUGCGGCUACGCAGCGCUGCGGGACGCGUUAGUGCUACAGGCGGAUGCCUUCUCCGGCCGCCGGUCCAUGGCAAUCUUCGAACGCUUCACACGCGGAAACGGUGAGGCCUGGGCGCUGGACGUGCCGGCCGGGACGCUGCAGGCUGGGCGGGUAAAUGGUAGAGGCGGGCAAAUGGGGGUGGGGCCUAAUAGACUCCAUCUAAUGAGGUGCAAACGGCCGAGAGAGGGCGGGGCGGCGCUAAAGCGUAAGGUUCGAACGGAGGUUCAUCCUGCAGCCAACAGGAGAGAAGAGCCUAAGACUCAAAGCCCGAGAGCCAGCCUAGGUCAGGGAUCGAGCCCAGCAAAGGUGGGGCCAAUGUGUGGAUAGGGCACUUGGAGGUCUGGUAAAAAAGCAAAGCGAACGAAGCCGGCCGCAGGAGUCGGAGGCCCCGAAAGGGGUAUAGCCAGUGACCCGGCGCUUCCUGGAUAGGGCGUGGCCGGCUCCCAGGCCCGCCUCCUUUCCCGUCCCCACCACAGGAAUCUUGUUUUCUAACCGGCCGCGCUGGUGGACACUGCGCAAUUUUGCACUUGGAGCGCUUAAGAAGUUCGGGUUGGGUACGCGGACCAUCGAGGCGCGCGUCCUGGAUGAGGCAGCUGGUCUGCUAGACGAAUUUCAAGCCACCAUUGCUUCAGCCUGGCCGGGAGGGCGGAAGGGCCUGGUGUGGGAGUGGCCCUUGCACUGCCAAGAUGGGGCCACGGGAAGGUAUUUGGGUGUAAGAAAGCCAGUAAGCCCAUGGGGCUGGCUGGGGCAGGACCACGCGUUAUGACCACCGUCCUGUUCCUACCCCCAAAAGCCCCCUUUGACCCCGUGCAGCUACUGGAUAAUGCUGUAUCCAAUGUUAUCUGUUCUUGUCUUCGGGAACCGCUAUGGCUAUAGGGACCCGGAGUUCCUGAGGCUCCUGAACCUCUUCAGUGACAACUUCCGCAUCAUGAGUUCCAGAUGGGGCGAGGUGAGAGGGCCGGCCACAAUCUCUCCCUUGUGCGUCCAGCCUUAUGCCAAAUCCCGAGUACACAGACCUACCUACAAUGGAUCAUUAGAAUGGGACAGUUAGAUUCCUGGAAGAGUUCCAGAACCUCCAAUAUCAAAGUCCUGGUUCGAUCUCCCUGUAGCAAAACUAAGGCCUAGUGGCCUUGUGCAGGGCCCAUGUUGAGACAGACCCUGUCUCUCCAGAUGUACAUUUGCCCCGUCUCUCAUGGACUGGCUCCCGGGCCCGCACCACCGAUCUUCCAAAACUUUUCGGAGCUGCGGGUCUUCAUCUCUGAGCAAAUCCAACGACACCGGCAGAUGCGGCAGCCGGCGGAGCCCCGCGAUCUCAUCGAUUGACCAGAUGGGGCGCUUUUGUGAUUCCCCUGCUUGUGACUGCGCACCGGGACCCCACUCAAUUCAAGGACCCAGACUGCUUCAACCCUACCAACUUCUUGGACAAGGGCAAGUUCCAGAGCAAUGAUGCUUUCAUGCCCUUUGCCUCAGGUGCGGGCAGAGGAGGAAGGGGACCAGCCUGGACUGGCUCUGGGGUGCAUGGUGCUCACUAUGCACCUGUGUACCCGGCAAAGCAGACGUGCCUGGGCGCAGACCUGGCCCACUCAGGUAUCUUCCUAUUCCUUACGGCCACCCUACAGAGGUUCUGCCUGCUCCCUGUGGUAAACCCUGGCACCAUCAACCUCACCUGCAGUGCACUGGCCUGGGCAGUGUCCCCCCAGCCUUCCAGUUCCAGCCAGUGGCCUGCUGAGGUCAGGCUCCACUAUGGUGGGCUCACUGGCCCUCAAACCUCCAUACCCUCCUUGGUCGAUAAAGGCCCUAAAUUGCA